rnacentral:rRNA from 1 species
GAUGAACGCUGGCGGCAUGCCUAAAACAUGCAAGUCGAGCGGUAAGGCCCCUUCGGGGGUACACGAGCGGCGGACGGGUGAGUAACGCGUGGGAAUCUACCCCAAACUGAGGGAUAAGCAUUGGAAACGAUGUCUAAUACCGCGUACGGUCUUCGGAUUAAAGCUUCGGCGGUUUGGGAAGAGCCCGCGUAAGAUUAGCUAGUUGGUGAGGUAAAGGCUCACCAAGGCGACGAUCUUUAACUGGUUUGAGAGGAUGAUCAGUCACACUGGGACUGAGACACGGUCCAGACUCCUACGGGAGGCAGCAGUUAGGAAUUUUCCACAAUGGCGAAAGCCUGAUGGAGCAAUGCCGCGUGCAGGAUGAAGGCCCUAGGGUUGUAAACUGCUUUUAUACGUGAAGAAUAUGACGGUAACGUAUGAAUAAGGAUCGGCUAACUCCGUGCCAGCAGCCGCGGUAAU